CCGGCUAGUCACCGCACAAACCUUAAAACCGAGAGUAAACCUACGUCUUGCCCUAAACUCAUCGCAUUGGUCUCAGACAUCUCAAAGACAUGAUAUCUAAACGAUAUGAGAUCCUAAAACAUGUCUCUUCGUUCAUAUCUCAACGUUCCUGAAUGAUCGUAAAUAAUUUUUACGAAAACUCACGUCUUGAACAAACUAACAGAUUGAAUGCCUCAACGAAGUUAAAUAUGAGACGACAAGUCAUGUUUACUUCAAACCCACU
rnacentral:lncRNA from 1 species